AAAAAAUUGCACAAAAUUUAAACCGACUAAUUAGGAUAAAGUAGUAAAUGAUGGAAUUAAAUUUAUUUUGUUCUCGAUAAAGUUUUUUAUAGUAUAGUCCAAUUAAACAUGAAGGUGGAAAAAAAAGCAGACAAUCUACUAUUGCUGGAAAAAAAACUAAAGCUAGAGACAACAUAUGGAAUUAUUAUGAAAGAAAGGGAAUGAAACAAAUAAUAUGAAAUGAACAAUUGAUGGUCUUGAUUUUUUUAAGUGUAAUCCAAUCAUAUAUAACGAUGGAAAAAUAAAAGUAGAAAAUGUUUCUUGCAACAGCCCCUUGGGCUCGUUUUCAUCACCUUGCUAGUGCCUUGAUAGCAGUAUCAAGAGCAACCAUUGUAGCAGCUACAGCCCUGCAGACAUACAUCAUUACAGCAGCCAAACACGAGCAAGAACAGCAGCUAAACAUCGAGCAAACAGCAGCCAUAGCUGCUGUACUUACGCGCACUUUCAAGCUCUUGUUCGUGGCAUUACAGCAGCAUCCUCUUGUCCUCACCUUAGCUCAUUUGCAGUAUCUUGUAGCAGCUACACAACCAACAUCCUAGCAACAAGAAUAGCACAGAAUUUCAGUCACAGAAACUCACGCAAAAAGCCACAACAACAGCAACAACGAGCAAGUACAACAGCUACAUGAAGCAUAUAAUUAGCUGCUGUUGUUUGAGCUUCGUUGCUGCUCAAUUGAGUGCUUUAUUUGCAGCUGUACAUUAUCAAUACCAGCAGCAACAUCACGCAAGAAAUAGCAGGCAAACACAGCAGCAACAUCGAAGAAGAAUAGCAGCCACAACAACUAGCAAACAGCAAGUGCAGUAGCUGUGCGAACGCACAGAUUUAGCGUGUGUGCGCACACUGCUGUGCGACCACACUGAAGUUUAGUGCGAGCACACGAAUUGCCAAAAUCAAGGCAGGAACUCAGCCUUUGUUGGUGCGAUCGCACAGCCUUCCUCGUGUGGUCGCACGGCUUUGCGGGGCUGCUACUAUAAAGACCUAAAAUCGCAGCAUUGUGAAUUAGGCUUUCAUUACGUAAUUUUCAUUUCUCUUAGGCUUAGCUUAGAAUUUUCUCUCUAGAAUUAGUUUAGGGCUUAGAUUAGAGAUUAGGAUUAAGGAUUCUUAGCCUCAAAUUCUUGAUUCUAAAUUCAAUUCAAUCAUCAUUUUCAGAUUUCCUUUUCUCUUUGCUUUGAGUUUUUUUCUUCAAUUUUGUGCUUCAAGUUUGAUGAAAUUUCUUCAUUCCAAGGUUCGAUUAAGGAGCUCAAGUUUCUCAAAUGAGAGUUAUUACUGGAGUUGGUUAUUUAUUAUGGAGAUAUCGAGAUGAGAAAUUAUUUAUUACGGAAAUCAUGUUACUGAGGUUGUUAUAAGAAUAUUGAUUUAUAUUUAUUUUUGGGAAAAUUUGUAUUACUUAAAGGAAUGUUAUUAAGGAUUAUUUUAUUUGUGGGCCCAUACCCACAUGUCCCAGUAUUAAUUAAGCCUAAUUCCGCUGUCAAUGAUCAGUUAAGUGCGAUUUAUUACAAAUAAUUAAGGUGCCGAAAAGUCGGGGCGUUACAGUAUGGUAUCAGAGCGGAGCCCAUCCGGAAGUGCUCUGCACUGCCUAGGUAUGAUCUUUGGGUUAUGAGAAAGUUUUGAGUUUUUAACAGCUAUUUGGGUUAUUAGAUAUUAAGUUAUGAGAACAAAGAGUUUUAAUAUAAGUGGAUGACUUUUGGGUUGUUACAAAAGUAUGUCAUAUUGUGGAUUAUCUGAGUUUAGACAGGCCUUGAGUUUUGAGAUAUCUAGUUUCGAGGACGAAACUUUUUCUAAGAGGAUAAGGAUGUAACACCCCGUAUUUUUAAAUCUCAUUUAUUAUUCUGUAAUUAUGAUUAUUAUCGUAUUUACAUCCUAAUUUUUUCCGAUAUUAGUUUAGUAAUCUCGUCAUGUUCAGGUUUUUAUGUGACAUGAUAUGAAAUACUUAAGCCAAUUUUUGAUAACCCAUAAUCUGAUUUUAUCACCACAAUUCAAAAUUACCAUUUUACCCUUAUUUCACCUAAUUCAAGGAAGCCAAUUCCUUCUUCCCCUUUCUUCUUCACUGUGUUAAUAUUUUCCAUUGAAGUCAACAUGUUGCUUUACAGAUGUAAAAACCAAGCUCCCAUUUCUACUGAUUGAAGCCACGCAUUGUUUCACCUCCUUCCUUAGUCAUCAAUUGCUCUUUCUUUUCUGUACAUUUGUCACCCCAAGCAUGCAAUUGAGCUCACACCUUACAUAAAUUGAGUCUCAUUAGACCCUAUAAAUAGCCAUCCUUUUGUUCAGUAAUUUGCAAUACCAAAACCCAAUUCAGAAAUGAGUAAGAAAAAUAAAUAAACCAUUGAUGAAACUUGAAGCUUUUUCCACCAUUUUCUCUCUCCUCUGUUUCACCUCCGCGGCACCACCACCGCUGCCACCAUUUUCUGCCGGAGGUGCGUCCAACCACCACCACCCAGAACCCAUCCCCGACGUCACCUCCUGUCCGUCGCCGGAGUCCACUUUGACCCCUGAUGCUACGGGUGGUGUUGUUGCGUGAGCUAUGCUGUUGUUUCCAUAACUUUUCAUCCUCUUGUUUUACUUACUGGUAAUGGUUUUAUGACUGAUAGUUGGGCCAAAAUCACAAAUAUGUUGGUGGGCCUUAAUUAUUUGAAAAUGAGAAAAGGUAGGUUGUUGGAGUUUGAUUAGACAAAUUAAUGGCAAAUACCAAAAUAAUAUGCAAAGCUAAGUAAUAGGUAAGUAUAUUGUCAUGAUUUUUGGUUGAACAUUAUUUUGAUGAAUAGUAUUCGUAUAUGUCUAAUAUUGGGUUUAUUAUGGUUGAUCAUUAAGAAUAAGCUAAAGUACGAUGCAUUUGGGAAUUUUAUCACGAUGAUAUUUAAGGAUUAAACUGAUUGGUUAAACUACUGAGGUUCGAUUAAGGAGCUCAAGUUGCUCAAAUGAGAGUUAUUACUGGAGUUGGUUAUUUAUUAUGGAGAUAUCGAGAUGAGAAAUUAUUUAUUACGGAAAUCAUGUUACUGAGGUUGUUAUAAGAAUAUUGAUUUAUAUUUAUUGUUGGAAAAAUUUGUAUUAUUUAAAGGAAUGUUAUUAAGGAUUAUUUUAUUUGUGGGGCCAUACCCACAGGUCCCAGGAUUAAUUAAGCCUA